rnacentral:lncRNA from 1 species
GUGGUCCCAAAGCAGCUUUCUUGCAAGGACAUGCAGUGUCCCAAAGGGAGCUCAUGUAGGAUGACAGAUGGAUGGCCCCACUGUGUGCAGAACCAGCCGUCCUGUCAUGAUAUCCAAUGUCAGAAGGGAACGGAGUGCCAGAUGGUGAAUGGUUGGCUUCAGUGUGUCCAAAUCAAGACCUCUGUCAGGAGACCCACCUGUAGUGAUGUUCGGUGCUCCAAGGGGACGGUGUGUCAGAUGGUGGAUGGAUGGCCUCAGUGUCUUCAACCCAAGGUGGCCCCAAGGCAGCCUUCUUGCAAGGACAUGCAGUGUCCCAAAGGGACGUCGUGUAGGAUGACAGAUGGGUGGCCCCACUGUGUGCAGAACCAGCCCUCAUGCCAGGACGUCCAAUGUCAGAAGGGAACCGUGUGCCAGAUGGUCAAUGGUUGGCCCCAGUGUGUCCAGACGAAGACUUCCAUCAGGAGACCCACCUGUAGUGACCUACGGUGUUCCAAAGGUUCAGCGUGUGAGACGGUGGAUGGUUGGCCUCAGUGUGUUCAACCCAAGGUGGUCCCAAGGCAGCCUUCUUGCAAAGACAUGCAGUGUCCCAAGGGGUCCUCAUGUAGGAUGACAGAUGGGUGGCCGCAUUGUGUUCAGAACCAGCCGUCCUGCCAGGAUGUCCAAUGCCAAAAGGGAACGGAGUGUCAGACAGUGAAUGGUUGGCCUCAGUGUGUCCAGACAAAGACUUCCAUCAGGAGACCCACCUGCAGUGAUGUUCGGUGCUCCAAGGUGAUGGUGUGUCAGAUAGUGGAUGGAUGGCCUCAAUGUUUGCAACCCAAGGUGGUCCCAAGGCAGCCUUCUUGCAAGGACAUGCAGUGUCCCAAGGGGUCCUCAUGUAGGAUGACAGAUGGGUGGCCCCAUUGUGUUCAGAACCAGCCCUCAUGCCAGGAUGUUCAGUGUCAGAAGGGAACCGUGUGCCAGAUGGUGGAUGGAUGGCCUCAUUGUGUCCAAAUCAAGACUUCCAUCAGGAGACCCACCUGCAGUGAUGUUCGGUGCUCCAAGGGGACAGUGUGUGAGAUGGUGGAUGGAUGGCCUCAAUGUGUUCAACCCAAGGUGGUCCCAAGGCAGCCUUCUUGCAAGGACAUGCAGUGUCCCAAAGGGAGCUCAUGUAGGAUGACAGAUGGGUGGCCCCAUUGUGUGCAGAACCAGCCCUCCUGCAGUGACAUCUACUGCCAGAAGGGAACUGAGUGCCAAAUGGUCAAUGGUUGGCC